rnacentral:lncRNA from 10 species
UCCAGUCCAGGGAUCACCGGUGGAGACCCAUUAGUCUAUGCCAUCCUAGUCCCACCCGCCUGACACCUCAUGCUCACCAGAAGGACACCUUGGGCUGACCAGAGAGGAGGGUUUCUGUGUGAGAAGGGAUUUGUGAAUGCAUCUCAUAAAUGCCCUGCUCUCAGCUGCUGAACAUUCUCCUGCUGAAAGGCAGGGAGCUAAUUAGCACAGCCACCUCGACAGCGUCUGUUCCAGUCACCCCUGCAUGCAUGCUAGAACACCUUUGAACAAUGGAUGACAGUCUGCAGAGAGCACAGAGCUCCCGGAGAACAUAAAAAUGCAAUGGAACAGAAUGAAGGGAUGCAAGUCACAAUCGUCUCAACUGCAAGUUGGCCAAAGUAAACAUUGCCCCAAAGGGCUCCCAAAGCUUGCUGGCACAUAAACAUGAAUGAAUGAACAAUGUAGAAUUCACUCAAGAAAUUUCAAGGAGAGAGAGGAGGAGAUUUACAUCACACAGCAAACAACCUAAUAAAUCUGUUAAACGCCAU